AUGGACAUAGAAUCCUCCCGCUCCGGGGCCCAUGGCGAGCCCGACGCGGCGGCGUGGGUGACGGUCGAGGAGUGGGGCGGCUCCUCCGGCUCCGCGCUCUCCCGCACCGCCGUCCUCACCGCCUCCGCCUCCUCCCUCGCCUCCAACAGGUUCGGCAGCCGGUGGGGGCGGAUCGGCAGCCGCGUGCUCGGCGCCUUCGUGCCCGAGGGCUUUCCUGGCAGCGUCACUCCUGACUACGUCCCAUUCCAGAUGUGGGAUACCUUACAGGGGCUCUCGACAUACAUCCGUGCAAUGUUGUCUACUCAAGCCCUUUUAGGUGCCAUUGGCGUAGGUGAGAAAUCUGCCACGGUAAUUGGUGCCACUUUUCAGUGGUUUCUCAGGGAUUUGACUGGUAUGCUCGGAGGCAUAUUGUUCGCUUUCUAUCAGGGAUCCAACCUUGAUAGCAAUGCCAAAAUGUGGCGUCUAGUUGCAGACUUUAUGAAUGACCUUGGAAUGUUGAUGGAUCUUUUAAGCCCUUUGUUUCCUUCAUCAUUGAUAAUUAUAAUGUGCUUGGGCAGUCUAUCUCGGUCAUUCACUGGUGUUGCCAGUGGAGCAACUAGAGCAGCAUUAACACAACAUUUUGCACUUGCAAAUAAUGCCGCUGAUAUAUCUGCAAAGGAGGGCAGCCAAGAGACACUUGCAACAAUGUCAGGAAUGGGACUGGGAAUGUUGUUGGCACAUGUUACCAGGGGGCAUGAUUUGGUUGUAUGGGUUUCAUUCCUUUCUCUCACAAUAUUCCAUAUGUACGCAAAUUACAAGGCAGUGCAGUCACUUUCACUCAGUACAUUAAAUUAUGAGAGAACAUCCAUCUUGCUGCAGUAUUUUAUGGAACAUGGUGAAGUUCUUACACCAGAACAGGUUUCCAAGCAAGAGCAUAUUCUUCCGUUCUGGUCAAGCUGGCGGAAAUUACUUAGAGUUAAACUUCCACAUGAGCUUGUACACUUAGGUGCUAAAGCCUCGAUGCUUGCGCACUCCGACAUGCUGCUGAUUGCAAAAACAAGAUCCUACUAUACAAAUGCCAACUAUUUUUUGCUGGACAAGGACGGCAGUGUUUGUAUUUUCAUCCACAAGCAGGCAGUGGCAACUGAUGUCUUGAAGUCCUUCGUACAUGGACUCGUCUUAGCACGUUUUAUGCAGAAGAGCAAAUCUUGUCAUACAGAGGCUCACCAAUGGAUGGAUGAGAAAUACAACACCUUCAUCUCAAAGCUGAAAGUGGAAGGCUACUCAACGGAAAGACUUCUGUCGCAUUCGAUUGUUUGGAAGGCACACUGGGUUUAUGGUCCCUUGGAUGAGAAGACCAAGUAG
rnacentral:rRNA from 1 species